UUCACCUUUGUGUUGAAAGUACCAUUUGUGUUUCUCUCUUUUUUCUCCCUCAUUUAGGCAUUGUUUUUCUUAUACAUUUAAGUGACAGUGGAUGAUUAACAACACUUUUGAUAGUAUCUGGUAACUGUAGAUAUAAUAAGAGGAUACCUACAUAAAACAUUAUCUACAACAGUGGUGUUCAUAGUCGAAAGUGAUAAAGGUGUUGGAUGACAGUGUGAUUUGCACACAAGCGUGAAAACAACUUGGAUCUUGGGUUGUUGCUGUUGCACUAAAGUGUGAAACAACCUAGGCACAAUUUGACAACAUGGCCACCAGAUCCAGAAGGUAUCCCAAAUGCCUAAAAGUUGCUAAGGAUGGGAUAAAGAGAAAUCUCAUGGCAUCCA